AGCAAUAAGCUGCUGAUGGCUUGAUCAGAGCAGAGUAAUUGGCUGCAGAGUAUUUGCUGGCAGCAUGGUGUUUGUUACGAGUACAGUGAGCAACAUCUUAAGGAGACAUAUUAUAAUCAGCCAAAUGCAGCUGAGCGCCGGGGUUCUUCAGGCCUAUAAAGAGGCAUCCUGCAGAGAAGCUGUAGCUCUGUUCAUUUCACUGGCUCAGACUUAGCUCAUUGGCCAGGUGCGGGAAGCGGUUUCUGCUCAGAGGCUGUGUUGCAAAUUCCAGCGAACAAGCCCUGGGAGGGCAGUCUCCAUGGCGGGAGCAAAACAUGGCUGCUUCGAAAGAGCCAGCGCCAGCACUGCUUUCUCUGCCUGCGGCAGGCUUGAUGAGGUAAGUGGGGCUUCUGCAUUGAUUUGAAUCUUGUUUACAUUGGCUUUCUCUGAGGAGCUAUCUGGAGCUCUUUUAACAUUGAUUAGAUGGGCAGCGAAAGAAGCUUAGCAAAUAUACCUCUUUCAAAAACAAAAAUGGGCCAGCGGAGGCAAACUUCAUGCAGCCUGAGGCCAUUACUUACUUCGCCAGUGGCUUCCCUUUGCACUGUUUGAGAUGCAACACAGGGCCAAAUCUGACUCCUUGGGUGGAUGUUAACGGUUUCCUCCCCACCUCUUCCCGUUUUAUUUAUUUCAAGGAAUUGGCAAUUUGUGUUUCAAGAUUUUAAACGACUCCUAGCAUUAGCUGCAGCCAGAUAAACUGCAGGCAUGGUCUCACUGCCCAAACUGCUACAAACUCUGCCGAUGGCCAUCUAAAUCCUACCUGCACUGUGGCACCCUCUGCUCGUCCAGUUCUCUGCCUAUGCACCUGUACCUUGUCAAGCAGCACCCUCUGUUAUUCCACUUCUGGGUUUCCCACACAGCUUUGCUGAAGCAAUUCAGCCAUGACCGACAGCCACCCCAGCUGCUGAAGUUCUGAGUUUCCAUGUACAGCUUUGCCAGUACACUUUUCUCCUGUCUUGUGGCUCACUAUGAUAACCCAGCACUAAGGGCUCACUCAGCUCUGCCAAUGUCCACAAGUACUGGCCCGCUGCCCCCUAUGCUCCAGAUGUAAGGGACUUGUUGUUGUUAUUCCACCUUCUGCUUCAAAGAAGAGAUGUCCAGGUAUCCGACCAAGUGAGAGCAUGGCAGCCAGUAAUUCUAAGGGCUUGGCAUGGGCACUUCAAAUGCCACCUAUGCAGAAUCUUCAGGCCAGAAAGUAAGGACCACAUCCUUCUGUUCGCAGCAGGCUAAAGCUCUUUCAUUGCAGCUUGUGUCUUUUCUCAGAACUCUUAUGAAUGUUCCCAUUGACCACACACCCGGAAGAAGAGCAGCAUGACUCAGGUGUUCUGUCUCCAACUGGUCUCACCUCACACCCCUCCCCAGCCUUCCAGCCUAUGAGGUGACCCCCAGCUUCCAAGCAAUAAGGGACAACACAGUCUCUUAAGAAGAAGAGCAGUGGUGGCCGCAUUUUUCCAGCCUGGGUUAGGAUUGGCAGGGCGCAGAAGGAGAGAGGACACUGGUGGCCUGUCCAGAUUUCACACAUUUGAGAUGGAGCCUGUCUGAGCAUCUCCCAUUCUUCUCACAACAGCACCAGCCCCCUCCUGGCUCAAACCCAGGAUUCAAACUGAACAACAAAGGAGGUGAGGAAGGGUCAGUGAGCUUUAGUUUCAUUGCUGUCUCUGCCUAUCCUGGUUUCAGCUGAGGCUGGAAGUAAACAGGGCCACAGCAGUAAUAACCCUUUGCUCCCUUAGUGCACCUUCCAUGUGCUAAGCUCAUUAUGGGGCUCCAAACGCCCGGCCAAGCGCUGCACAACAUCAUCAGCUGACAACAUCAUCAGCUUGCUGUGGUGGACAGAAUGGGAGAAAACCUCUGCCAUGACCAGGGACGCCUACGUCAUCAUCCGGCCAGAAUGGCUGCCUGGCUUUGGGCUCCCAAGCCACCUCUGGAGCCAGCUCAACAAGUUCAGGUUCCCUGUGCCAAAAUCAACCACACCUGGGGCAUCCAUGAUCACCCCCUGCGCCUCCGUGGUGCUGUGGGGGAUGCUGCACACAUGCUGGAUGGUUGCUCUUUUCAUGCCGGGCUCCCUGGAGGUUUUCUCAAGCUAAACAAUGGUGACUGAGGGGCGCUUUUCAUUGAUUGGCUCAAGGCCAUUUAGCUGUAUUUUUUUUUAACCUUGCCUUCCUGACAUGCAAUCACUCUGUGUGUGUGUGUGUGUGGAGAG